AACUGCUCACUUAUUCCUCUUUUACAGUGAAUUUAUGUUGUGUGGGGGUUUUUUGUUUUGUUUUUUUAUGAGGACUUAGUCUCCGAGGGCCAUUGGAAAUGGAUCUAAUUUUGCUUUCAAGCCAAAAGGUGCUCUCCUCCCUUUGCCUGUCGAUUUGAAUUGGUGGAGUCUAGGCUUGGGUCCGUGCACAAAGCCUUGGGUGCUUCAGUCCUUAGCAUCGGGAGCUGCUGAACAGUAACAUAAAAGUCUUUAUUAAAAACCUCCGUCGGGACACGAAUGUGCAUAACAAAUGCAAGUCCCCGCACACUAGACUUACCCUGGGUUGAGGUGAAAGGCAUUAGUUGGUUAUUUUUACACUGUAACAAGGGACCAUUCAGCAGAUCUCUUCACCCUAGUACAACAUAUUUCAGAGGGCGGGCAAGUGCCAAUUGGCAUCUCUUCAGUAGCUGGCCCACAAACCAGGGCCCAAGACAGGUGAAUUAACUUGGCAGAGGAAAAAUGGUGAGGGCACCAGAUCCUUUCCCCAUCCUGCUUCAACCCCAGGGCUAUUUUUUGGGGUCUUAAAAAAUGCAGACCUCCAAGACCCCUUCUUAUCCUCCCACCAGUGCCUGUCUCCAGAUGUGGUUGGAGAGCAAGUGCCGAUCCUAACAAGCUGGAACAGUUUCCCCCCUUCCCCCGGUCAUGUUCAUAACACUUUGGAAUUAAUGAUGCAUUCAGGAGUAACAACAUAACAUUCAAAUCCGCUUUUAUUGGAUCCAUUGGGUACCAUAUAGUCUUAGCGCCGCUCAUCGGGUACUGGAUGAAAAUAUUGGCUGAUUCUCAGUAUUGGGUACCCAAGGGAAAUGUCAGCUUUAUGAAAAGUAGACUGUAUUGUGGCUGGAUUACUGUAUUUUCUUGCAUACAACAUGCCUGGUAAUAUAAUAUGCACUUUGUUUUUGAAAGUCAGAAUUAAUUAAAAAUAACCAACCAACCCUUUUGUUCUAGUAAGUAACUGAGUAGCAGCGGUUAGGGAGCAGAGCCAGCUUCAUGUUGUGCUCUUGUGAAUCCUGCGCAGAUUUGAUUUUACUUUCACUUUUGCCCGCAAUCGGCAGAAAGUGUUUACCGUAUUUAUUGUAUAUAAUGCAUAUACUGCAAUUUCCAGCAGCUGGUUUUUUUGGGGGGGAGGGGAAGGGGCAUGUUAUAUGUAC